AGCAGCCGCGGUAAUUCCAGCUCCAAUAGCGUAUAUUAAAGUUGUUGCAGUUAAAAAGCUCGUAGUUGAAUUUCGGGAUUGACGUGAUGGUCGUACCUUAAGGGGUAUGAACUGUCGCUGUUGAUUUCUCACCUUCUGGAGAAACUUAGAUGUCCUUAAUUGGGUGUCUUGCGGAUCCAGGACCUUUACCUUGAAAAAUUAGAGUGUUUAAAGCAGGCAUUUUUGCUCGAAUACAUUAGCAUGGAAUAAUAGAACAGGACGGCAUGGUUCUAUUUUGUUGGUUUCUAGGAUCACCGUAAUGAUUAAUAGGGAUAGUUGGGGCAUUAGUAUUCAAUUGUCAGAGGUGAAAUUCUUGGAUUUAUUGAAGACUAACUACUGCGAAAGCAUUUGCCAAGGAUGUUUUCAUUAUCAAGAACGAAAGUUAGGGGAUCGAAGACGAUCAGAUACCGUCGUAGUCUUAACC
rnacentral:rRNA from 1 species